UUGAGAGAGAGUUGAUGAUCCAAAGUUCACAGAUGUGAGAAAUCAGUAGAUCCAGAUACUAAAACAAAAUCAACUAACACAACGAUAUGGAAGGAAGCAAAGUUAGUAAUAAAUCAAAGCUGUUUGGGUUGCUGCUGAAGACUCGGAAGAAAAAAGAAAUCAUGUCACUGAUUUGUAUAAUUGGUAUGCGCGGACUCGGAAAAGCAGCUAACGGGAAGAGGUUGCUGUUAGACGAGUUAACAUUUAAGCAGCCAUUGAUUCCAGUGUUAAAAUCUCCCUUUCUGGUAAUCCAUCGAUUGGUGUGUCUGAUCCGGUGUACCGAUAAAUGCAAUGGUUUAAGCUGAACCUGAUUCUGAAAGUAAUGCAAGUCCAUGUCUUUGCAACUUUAAAGACCAGAAAGCACUGAUCUGUAUAAUUGGUAUGAGGGACUAGAAAAAGUUAACUAUUUCACAGGAAAAGGCUGCUGUUGCAGUCUUUGGAAAAUGUAUCAAUAAAGUUUCAGCAGCCAUUCGAUUGUGAGGAAACAUCACUGCUUUGAUGCCAUCGGGGUGUUGCUAAAACAAUCUUAGUCGUUCAACUGGAUAGACCAGUGGGAUAAACAAGCUCGGGAGGAUAAGGAAUGGAUGUGAGCCAAACAUCAGGUGAACAUACUCAGCAGGAGCUGCAAUUUUAUCCUUCUUCGAGCUCCCUUCAAGAAUGAAAAGGGAAUUUGUUGUAGGUGGAUCUCUAGGCUUGAAGUACUCGAGCAGUACACGGGAUAGUCUGACCCCAAGUUGAACAUUGGCUCAUCUGGAGCUGAUAUGGACAUGUACUACUGAGGAGAAUAAGAGAUUCACUGCUUUUCACCCAGAGAUUGAGGAGCUUCUUUAUAGUGAUACUCAGAACAAAGAACACAUUGGCACAGUGGUGCGUCAAAAGACCGUUCCAAGUCAAUACUAUUCUCAAUGGCAAGACUUGAUUGUGCGGGGCACAUAACUGUAUUACUUAGUGUACCUUGUUGUGGUGUCUGGAGACUGAAGAAAUGAGUCAAAAGGACUUGGAAGAGCCGAGGAAAUGAAGAACAUGUUUGCCUCAUAUGAGACCUCCAAAUUAGAUGGAGAUUUCUGCUGAAUUUUCUCACAGAGGAACAGGGUUUGAAAUGGUGAACUCUACUGUUGCCUUUUAUGAAGCUUUUAGACGCACAGUUGUUGGAGCAAUAACUCGUGGCCCACCGACAUUUGCAGCUCUUCAUGGUUGUCCCGCAGAGAUCAUUAUUCAUGAACAUCUGCCUUCCAUAUUGAUCCCAACCAAGGUGAAAAGUCCGCUGAGCUUCCUGUCGUUAAAGAGGUCUGUCUUAUCAUUUCUAUUACAUGUUCUGUUCAUAGUAUACAGGGUAGAUACACUCAGAAAGGCUCAUGACAUGGUCUGGGGUUUAUGGAUUCUGGAAGUACACCUUAAACCAUGAACAUAGGGAAACUCACUGUCCUCUUAAGAUGUUUUGUGCUCUCGAGAAUUGCACAUUGGAAUUGGGAGUAACUGGGGCAUCUGAUGAGUAAAGCUUACGAGUUGACGAUUUGAAGCAAAAGAAAGAUGUCUUUAUGAAUUUCAUUGGUGACUUUAGAUGGCAGCUUCUACAAAAAUUUCCUAGUUAGAUACAAUUUAUACCCUGGGGGUUGCUGUCUUUGUACUACAAGAACACUUAAGAAAAAUCAAAAGAAUCUUAUUGGGUUCUGCACACUUUUACUAGUUAGUUACAAAAUGAAACACGUUUUUUGUUUGCCAA